CUACGGGUGGCUGCAGUGGGGAAUAUUGCACAAUGGGCGCAAGCCUGAUGCAGCCAUGCCGCGUGUGUGAAGAAGGCCUUCGGGUUGUAAAGCACUUUCAGCGGGGAGGAAGGCGUUAAGGUUAAUAACCUUGGCGAUUGACGUUACCCGCAGAAGAAGCACCGGCUAACUCCGUGCCGGCAGCCGCGGUAAUACGGAGGGUGCAAGCGUUAAUCGGAAUUACUGGGCGUAAAGCGCACGCAGGCGGUCUGUCAGGUCGGAUGUGAAAUCCCCGGGCUCAACCUGGGAACUGCAUUCGAAACUGGCAGGCUAGAGUCUUGUAGAGGGGGGUAGAAUUCCAGGUGUAGCGGUGAAAUGCGUAGAGAUCUGGAGGAAUACCGGUGGCGAAGGCGGCCCCCUGGACAAAGACUGACGCUCAGGUGCGAAAGCGUGGGGAGCAAACAGGAUUAGAUACCCUAGUAGUC
rnacentral:rRNA from 1 species